CAUGGUUUUCACCUCUCCUGUCGCUCAACAACCAACCAAGGCCUCCCAGCCUCCCCUCCCUUUGCCAUUGCUCGUUUUAUUGAUUGGUUUUUAAAUCCGGGUGUGAUUGCCAUGAUUAGUCCAAGUGUCUGCCUGGCUUGCUGAUGCUCAAGGGAGCGCUCUGCCUUCCCCACGUCCCCCCCAGCACCUGCAUCUUUCUUUUCUCCUCCUGCCUCUGUGUGUGCAUGUGUCUGUGGGUGACAGCUGCCCUGUGGUGGAUGGGAUGUGCCCAACCCAUCCAGUCUGAGCCUGUGGCUUUUUAUUUAUUUAUUUUUAAUUUUUUUUUUUCCCCCUGCUCCUUUUCCCCCUCAGAAGUGAGGAUAGCAAAUCCUCGUUUGUGAAGAGCUAAACAGCCAAGAUUGCUGAACCAAAUCAUAAGAUGCUUAUAACAAAAGAUGCUCAAAACCAACCCAAAAAUAGAGAUCAGGACUUGGUUUAGGCGGUUUGUUCCUGUCCUUUUCCCUUCCUGCUCCCACUCCCAAUCUCUUGGAUUGACUCUUUUAAAGAGGACAUAUUUUGGAGUCAACACAUUUGGAGAAAACAUCCUUUAAAUACCAGGUCUGAUAACCUGAAACCCAAAGGAGAAAAUAAUUAUAAAGGAAAACAUUCUCUCUAAUUUUCCUUCCAAAGCCUAACAUGGCCCCCCACGAGCUUUUCCCCCCUCUCUUCCUCACAUCUGUUGAUUGGAAUUUUAAAAUUAACUCAGGCAGAAUAUGAAGAAUAAAUCAGGAUUUCAGGUAAUCUCCUUGCUCUUAAUGAAGGAUAAAAGCCAAUACAGGAAUUUGGCCUUUUAACUUUUAUAAAAGCAUCUUAGUUUUGGGACUACACCUUUUUUUUUUUGAUAUUGGAAUGUGUGUGGGUGUGUAAAUCCAAAUGUGUACAUUCCUGUGGCCACAAACUGUUUUAGAGAAGGGAAUUUAUCUCCACAUCACAUUUGUGUUCACUUGUAUUAGAGGAAAAAAACAAUAAAUAUCGAUAUACACUUCAAUGUAUAUAAAAGCAAAGAAGAGGAAGGGGGGGACAAGGAAUGAGCAUCCUGCCUCAGAGCUUGGUUUCAGGGAGAACUCCCAUCUGCUUCACCCAUGGCAUGGAAGAGGCAUGGCUGGGAUGGCUCUGAACAAGGGGAUAAAGCUUUGUGGCAUUUCCUUUGCUUUGGCUCAGGGAAAUUGGCAUUCUGCAGACAACAAAUCCCUCUGGGAAACCUGAGGGUGCCUGAGCUGAGGGAUGUGGGAGGGAGAGGUGGGCACUGCCCCCUUGCCCUGCUGCCCAGGCACCCAAAACCUGUCAGUGCUGCUCGAAAUGCAACUCCCAGAGCUGCCAGCUCCUGGCAGGGACUUGUGACCACACAGGUGUCCCAGCCCAGCUCCUGCCCUGCCACCUGCACCCAUUUCUUUUUGUCCAGCUGGAUCUCAGCAGCUCUGCUUGUUCCCUGCCCUUGCUGCGUCCCUGUGUCCCCUUGAGCCCCGUCCUGCCUGUCCCUGCUCCCCCCAGUGCAGCACAUCUGGGUCACUCUGCUUCCCUGCAGCCUGAUGGACACAUCUGGAUGUGGCAGAGGGGUUUACACCCUGCUCAGUCACGGCCCUGAGGGGGAUGGCACCACCUGCACAGAUCCCCCAGGGGCCUCCCUGAAUGGCAAAAAGCACCCCCAGCUCUUCCCAGCCCUUCCCCAGUGCACGCUGCCCCUCUGUGCUCCAGCAGGACGAGGUUUGUGGGGGAAUUGCUGUCCCUGGAGGGGUUUUUCCUGCUGGGAGGGAGCCUCCCACUAAGUGACAAGUGGGUGCAUCAGCUGAGCGGCCUGGGGGUGCCUGGCUGGCUGAGGAGGGGAUGAAGGAGAAUUGUUGAUGCAUUUUUUGGCCAAGCUGGAACGGGCAGCAGCAGCUCUGCCAUGUGCUGGUGCAUGGAGCAGCCUCAUUCCCAAAGGAUCAGGGGAGGAUCACCAGGACACAGCCUUAGAGAGCUCCACACAACUUUCCAAUCCCAUCCUGCCAGUCCUGACUGAUGCAAACUUUUCUGGAAUCAUCAUUUCCUCUGCCAGCCUCCAGAGGAUUCAGCCAGUUGUUCCCUCACACCAAAGGACUCCAGUGCUCCAUGUCUCUAUUCAAAAAAUGCAUUUUCCUCUCUGGUUUUCUCCCCAACACACCUUGGGUUACCACGGAGCUGGAAACUGGCAGUGCUCUGAACUGAAGGCACAGCCACCACAUUCACCCCACGCUGAAUCUGCCAAAUCUGCCUUUGCUCCCUCUCUUUGGAAAGCCGAGGAGGUGCUGGUGGCCCCACGGGUCUCUGAUGUCCUGGAAUCAACCCAGCACCACUGACCAUGAGGAAAAAGCAAGGAAAAAUCCAUUCCAAGCUUCCCCACCUGCAUGCCUGGAAUAGCAGAGCACUGCCUGUACCGUGGUUUCAUUUGGAGCCUUCACCUGAUGUGGUUUCAGACAGAUCCAGGAAUUUAAAUGAGAAGUGGAAUAUGUUCAGGUCUUCAGAUACAAGAGGAAAGAAGCCAGACAAAAUGAUUUUUUUGCCAGUGGAGGCUGAGAACACGUUGCAGGUGGUUUUCUCUGCUGCCCAUGUCUGGGACAAAGAUGCUUUGAUGAGCAAGGGGAAGGCAGGGAUACAAACUGCAGCGUUACAGAAAAACUCUGCUUGCCUUGUGCAGCUUUGAAUCUGAGCUGCCCACAGAAGUCUGCCACAAAGGGUUUUACUGGGCUUGCAGCAAAGCAAAAGCAUUUCAAUCCUCCUUGAAAAAUUAAAGGCAGGAGAAACCUCAGCUCAAAGCAGUAGUUUGACUUAUGCCAGCGCAGGUAUUUAGUCUAGGAAUGCCUUGGUUCUCUCUGCCUCUCCUGGAGAGCUGGGCUGAUCUCAAAAAAUGGCAAGAGGGACUUGCCACACACCACCAAAUUCCUCUGUGCCCUAGGAAAAGGGGGGAAAACCUGAAGGAAAGCCCUGAAGUAAGAGAUAGUGAGUCCACUGUUUUGGUUUUACAAAUGUGUGCUUGGACAUGGUUCUGAUCUGGGGCUCGCUCCCUUUCCCUGGUGUCACACAGCGUUUGCCCCACGGCUCUUCCCAAAUUCCCCUGCACCUUCUGCCAGGGUGAACCUCACUGUGCUCCCCAAAAAGGCUGCCCAUGGCUGGGGGGAGCUGGCAGGAGCUGGAAUCAGGGCCAGGGGAGGUGUUCUCCUGCUGACACAGUGCCAAUGGACUUGAAAACAUCCCUGCUCUGGAGACUGAGCCAUCCAGCAGCACUGCUGGGCGUGGGUCACCCAACAAGUCCAGCUGGAAACUGGUGGAGAGGGAUCCAGUGGGCUGGGAGGAACUGGUAUUGUAGGAUAGAGAAGCAUUUAGGUUGGAAAGACCUCUAAGAUGGAGCUGUUCUUCCUGUCACCAGGGUGAAAUGUCACGGGUUCUGUUCCAUGUGUUGGUGGCACUGACACCAGAGCUCUCGCAGAUGAAAAAGACUGAUCACAGAGUUUAAAUAAAAGCGAGCUGAAGAGUUA
ensembl:lncRNA